rnacentral:rRNA from 1 species
GACGAACGCUGGCGGCGUGCUUAACACAUGCAAGUCGAGCGGUAAGGCCCUUUCGGGGGUACACGAGCGGCGAACGGGUGAGUAACACGUGGGUGACCUGCCCUCAGCUCUGGGAUAAGCCUGGGAAACCGGGUCUAAUACUGGAUAUGACUCCAUGACGCAUGUUGUGGGGUGGAAAGCCUUGUGCGGCUGAGGAUGGGCCCGCGGCCUAUCAGCUUGUUGGUGGGGUGANGGCCUACCAAGGCGACGACGGGUAGCCGGCCUGAGAGGGCGACCGGCCACACUGGGACUGAGACACGGCCCAGACUCCUACGGGAGGCAGCAGGUGGGGAAUCUUGCGCAAUGGGCGAAAGCCUGACGCAGCGACGCCGCGUGAGGGAUGACGGCCUGGUGUAAC